rnacentral:rRNA from 1 species
GACGAACGCCUUCGGCGUGCUUAACACAUGCAAGUCGAACGGAAAGGCCCUGCUUUUGUGGGGUGCUCGAGUGGCGAACGGGUGAGUAACACGUGAGUAACCUGCCCUUGACUUUGGGAUAACUUCAGGAAACUGGGGCUAAUACCGGAUAGGAGCUCCUGCUGCAUGGUGGGGGUUGGAAAGUUUCGGCGGUUGGGGAUGGACUCGCGGCUUAUCAGCUUGUUGGUGGGGUAGUGGCUUACCAAGGCUUUGACGGGUAGCCGGCCUGAGAGGGUGACCGGCCACAUUGGGACUGAGAUACGGCCCAGACUCCUACGGGAGGCAGCAGUGGGGAAUAUUGCACAAUGGGCGGAAGCCUGAUGCAGCAACGCCGCGUGCGGGAUGACGGCCUUCGGGUUGUAAACCGCUUUCGCCUGUGACGAAGCGUGAGUGACGGUAAUGGGUAAAGAAGCACCGGCUAACUACGUGCCAGCAGCCGCGGUGAUACGUAGGGUGCGAGCGUUGUCCGGAUUUAUUGGGCGUAAAGGGCUCGUAGGUGGUUGAUCGCGUCGGAAGUGUAAUCUUGGGGCUUAACCCUGAGCGUGCUUUCGAUACGGGUUGACUGGAGGAAGUAGGGGGAGAAUGGAAUUUCCUGGUGGAGCGGUGGAAUGCCCAGAUAUCAGGGGGGAACACCAGUGGCGAAGGCGGUUCUCUGGGCCUUUUCCUGACGCUGAGGAGCGAAAGCGUGGGGAGCGAACAGGCUUAGAUACUCUGGUAGUCCACGCUGUAAACGGUGGGUACUAGGUGUGGGGUCCAUUCCACGGGUUCCGUGCCGUAGCUAACGCUUUAAGUACCCCGCCUGGGGAGUACGGCCGCAAGGCUAAAACUCAAAGGAAUUGACGGGGCCCCGCACAAGCGGCGGAGCAUGCGGAUUAAUUCGAUGCAACGCGUAGAACCUUACCUGGGUUUGACAUGGAUCGGGAGUGCUCAGAGAUGGGUGUGCCUCUUUUGGGGUCGGUUCACAGGUGGUGCAUGCCUGUCGUCAGCUCGUGUCGUGAGAUGUUGGGUUAAGUCCCGCAACGAGCGCAACCCUUGUUCACUGUUGCCAGCACGUUAUGGUGGGGACUCAGUGGAGACCGCCGGGGUCAACUCGGAGGAAGGUGGGGAUGACGUCAAGUCAUCAUGCCCCUUAUGUCCAGGGCUUCACGCAUGCUACAAUGGCUGGUACAGAGAGUGGCGAGCCUGUGAGGGUGAGCGAAUCUCGGAAAGCCGGUCUCAGUUCGGAUUGGGGUCUGCAACUCGACCUCAUGAAGUCGGAGUCGCUAGUAAUCGCAGAUCAGCAACGCUGCGGUGAAUACGUUCCCGGGGCU